AUAUGCCUUGGGGGAUAUAUUAAAAGAGGAUAUUUCAGAUGUGGGUGCUCGAGAAAGUGAUUGCAUACUAGAUGCCAACUCAGCAUGAACUUCCUCAACAAGUGGGGGAAUGAAUGUCUUCAUGUAGUGUGUUGUUGAUGUGAAUGUCUCUGGGAUCUUCUUCGCCUGAGAUUUGUAAAGAUCCUUGUUGAGAACAUCCUGAAUUGACCAAGAAAGCACCAAGUCUACUAAGCCUCUGCCCAUGAUCAUCUUUCCCUUGUUGUUACUGUUGUUGUCCAUUUUUUCUUCGAUCUUUCUGGAUUGAUGUAUGUAUUACAAGAAAAGGAAGCAGAAAACCCAAAUGAUAGGAAGAAAGAAUCAAGAAAACCCGAAUGGAAGGAAGGAGAAAACCCAGAGCUACGAAAUUG
rnacentral:misc_RNA from 1 species